rnacentral:lncRNA from 1 species
UAACGUGGUGGAGGGGUUUGAGUACCCGAGUGACCCAAGGAGCUAUGUUGUCUGGGGCUAUAUGCCCCUGGUAGGGUCUCCCAAGGCAAACAGGUCCUAGGCGACAGGUCAGACUAAGAGCGGUUCAAAACCCCCUUAAUGAUGAGUAUAAUUUUGAGUCCCGUGACGUCGCCCGGUAUGGGGCAGCUGGGGCCCCACCCUGGAGCCAGGCCCGGGGUUGGGGCCCGUACGCGAGUGCCUGAUGGCCGGGCCUUUCCUCAUGGGGCCCGGCCGGGCUCAGCCCGAAGGAGCGACGUGGGGCCGGCUUCCCGUGGGCUCACCACCCUCAGGAGGAACCAUAAGGGGCCGGUGCGGAGAGGAUCGGGCGGCAGUCGAAGGCGGGGGCCUAGACAACCCGAUCUCUGGACACGGAAACUAGCUCUAGGGACGUGGAACGUCACCUCGCUGGCGGGGAAGGAGCCUGAGAUCGUGCGUGAGGUUGAGAGGUUCCGACUAGAGGUAGUCGGGAUCACCUCUACGCACGGCUUGGGCUCUGGAACCACACUCCUUGAGAGAGGAUGGACUCUUCACCACUCUGGAGUUGCCCAUGGUGAGAGGCGGCGGGCUGGUGUGGGUUUGCUUAUAGCUCCCCAGCUCUGCUGCCAUGUGUUGGAGUUUACCCCAGUGAACGAGAGGGUCGUUUCCCUGCGCCUAUGGGUCGGGGAUAGGUCUCUCACUGUUGUUUGUGCCUACGGGCCGAACGGCAGUGCAGAGUACCCAACCUUCUUGGAGUCUCUGGGAGGGGUGCUGGAAAGUGCUCAGACUGGGGACUCUAUCGUUCUACUGGGGGACUUCAACGCCCACGUGGGCAACGACAGUGACACCUGGAGGGUGUGAUUGGGAGGAACGGCCCCCCUGAUCUGAACCCGAGUGGUGUUCAGUUAUUGGACUUCUGUGCUAGUCACAGUUUGUCCAUAACGAACACCAUGUUCAAGCAUAAGGGUGUCCAUCAGUGCACGUGGCACCAGGACACCCUAGGCCGCAGGUCAAUGAUCAACUUUGUUGUCG